CGCUGGCGGCGUGCCUAACACAUGCAAGUCGAGCGAGGAGAUCCUUCGGGAUGAUCCUAGCGGCGGACGGGUGAGUAACACGUGGGCAACCUGCCUCAUAGAGAGGAAUAGCCUUCCGAAAGGAGAUUAAUACCUCAUAACAUUGCAGUUUCGCAUGGAACAGCAAUUAAAGGAGCAAUCCGCUAUGAGAUGGGCUCGCGGCGCAUUAGCUAGUUGGUGAGGUAACGGCUCACCAAGGCGACGAUGCGUAGCCGACCUGAGAGGGUGAUCGGCCACAUUGGGACUGAGACACGGCCCAGACUCCUACGGGAGGCAGCAGUGGGGAAUAUUGCACAAUGGGGGAAACCCUGAUGCAGCAACGCCGCGUGAGUGAUGACGGCCUUCGGGUUGUAAAGCUCCGUCUUCAGGGACGAUAAUGACGGUACCUGAGGAGGAAGCCACGGCUAACUACGUGCCAGCCGCCGC
rnacentral:rRNA from 1 species